rnacentral:rRNA from 1 species
AUUGAACGCUGGCGGCAUGCCUUACACAUGCAAGUCGAACGGCAGCACGGGAGCAAUCCUGGUGGCGAGUGGCGAACGGGUGAGUAAUAUAUCGGAACGUGCCCAGUCGUGGGGAUAACGUAGCGAAAGCUACGCUAAUACCGCAUACGAUCUACGGAUGAAAGCGGGGGACUCGCAAGAGCCUCGCGCGAUUGGAGCGGCCGAUAUCAGAUUAGGUAGUUGGUGAGGUAAAGGCUCACCAAGCCGACGAUCUGUAGCUGGUCUGAGAGGACGACCAGCCACACUGGGACUGAGACACGGCCCAGACUCCUACGGGAGGCAGCAGUGGGGAAUUUUGGACAAUGGGCGCAAGCCUGAUCCAGCAAUGCCGCGUGCAGGAUGAAGGCCUCGGUUGUAACUGCUUUGUUACGGAACGAACGGUAGAGCUCUAAUACAGUUUGCUAAUGACGGUACCGUAAGAAUAAG